rnacentral:rRNA from 1 species
GACGAACGCUGGCGGCGUGCUUAACACAUGCAAGUCGAACGGAAAGGCCCUGCUUUUGUGGGGUGCUCGAGUGGCGAACGUGUGAGUAACACGUGAGUAACCUGCCCUUGACUUUGGGAUAACUUCAAGAAACUGGUGCUAAUACCUGAUAGGAGCUCCUGCUGCAUGGUGGGGGUUGGAAAGUUCCGGCGGUUGGGGAUGGACGCGCGGCUUAUCAGCUUGUUGGUGGGGUAGUGGCUUACCAAGGCUUUGACGGGUAGCCGGCCUGAGAGGGUGACCGGCCACCUUGGGACUGAGAUACGGCCCAGACUCCUACGGGAGGCAGCAGUGGGGAAUAUUGCACAAUGGGCGGAAGCCUGAUGCAGCAACGCCGCGUGCGGGAUGACGGCCUUCGGGUUGUAAACCGCUUUCGCCUGUGACGAAGCGUGAGUGACGGUAAUGGGUAAAGAAGCACCGGCUAACUACGUG